CACGCCCCUCCAUCCCGCCGCCUGCCUGCUGUCUCCUCCCACCUCGGGCUAUUUUUGGUCACCAAGGCUUUGCUCCUACUCUUUUCCCCCUGCUAACCACUUUGCCCAGCCCUCUCACAUCUUUCCGAACUCAGCGUCGGCCUUGUGCCUGCAUAAGCUGCUGUGGACCUGGGCUGGGGCUGGCUGGUGCCCCCACCCGCCCCCCCUCCCGUUUUGAGCCCAGCCCGUCGUAUUGACGUGAUCUGCUUGCAGAUCUGUCCCCACUAGGCUCAGCACGCCCCCCCUUCCCCAGGGCAGGAACUGAAUGUCGCCCAGCUCGUUGCCCAGCUCUGGGGCCCCACGGGAACUCAGGGGACCUAUGGGGAACCGGGUUUAAUGAGACACCCCUUAUGAAAGCAAUGUCACGUUUCCCCUUGGAGGGAAAGGACCCAUGGAAACCUGUCACCACCAAGGGAGAGUGCCAAGCCGCAUCCUCGGGCUAAUAUUCAAAGUGAAUGUUUCUGUGCACAGCCCAGGAAUGUGGGACUGGGAGCCACCGGGGUGAGGGCAGACCCAGCACGUGCCUGACUGGGGCAGUACUGACCCACCCUGGGCUGCCCCCUCUCAGCCCCUCCGUUGGUCUGAGAGAGGUCAGGCCCUAAACACACACCAGAGGAAGGGCCGCCCUUUGGCAGGCAUGUCAGGGGCAGGGUUGGUGCCCUUGCUAGUCCUCCCUGCUCCGGGCGCUAAGUUGGAGGGCUGUUUGUGCCUGUCUCAUGGGGUGGUGCUCCCUGUCCCCACGGAAGGGGAGCUGGACCCUCCUGGGAACAACCUGAGGGUGCUGGUGACUGGGGGAAGAAGGGGACAGUAAUGUAUCCACCUGUGGCUUCCCCCCCUGCUGCAGUCAAAGACUCCUGCCAGGCACAGCCCCUCCUGGGGCUGUCAUGUCCAUGCCAGGUCAGGAGGGUGGCUCUGGCUGGGAGGAUGCUGAGUCCAUGGCAGUGAAAGCUGCUCACGUGGGGUAACCGAGUCAUCCAUCCACAGGAGUAGGUCCUCACCUGUGGAGGUUUCCAUAGGAAGGGAGACCAAGUUCCUGCUCACAGGCUACUUGUACGGACCUGACAGAAGCCUGCAAAAUGCCUGCAACAUGCAGGGUGACUUCUUGCUUUGUCUUGCACCCUCCAUUCCCCCACCCUGAAAGCCUCUUCCCUGCCAGCUCUGGCCUGGCUAACUCAUCACUCAGACUUCAGCACUCAGUUGAGAUGUCCCUCCUCCGGGAAGCCUUCUCUGAACCUUCUCUACCCGACCACCAAGGCCUGGCUUUGGGGCCCUGCUACGCAUCUCUGACAUCUCUGCUUUUUAUCUUGCAGAUCUGAUGGCACUGUGUUCGUUGUUGGCCUCCCAGUGGACUGUGGGCCCUUGAGGUGCUUCCCAGAGCCUUCACACAGAGACCCCGCAGUUCCUCCUUCGGAGUACUUUUCUCUGGCUCAGAAGUUCUGAAUCAGGAUAAAUGGUUUUCAAGCCCCCAAGAAUUUGGAAAAGGUAAGUUAGAAGAGGGAGGUAAGUUAGAUAUCAGCACAAAAACACUAAGGGGACACAGGUCGUAUUCAAAGCAGACUUGAGACGCAUACCAGUGCAGCUGCCCGUGUGGUUUAGCAUCGGGCACUCGGUAGUCACAGCGCAGGGGCCUGAGCACCAGAUGCUCGUGUGACCCAGGUUCUCAGGAAAUGUUAAGAUAUGUUCAGUAGGGUCUGUUUAAGCUGUGAUACUCAUAAAAUCUCUUAAAGAGUCCUAACCAAGAUAAAUUCUGGUGUUUCAAAGGGUUAUAUAUCAGCUCUCUGAAAGACUUAAGCUAUUCAGAAAGAUUCUGCAUGAUAGAGUUCAUGCUGCCCUUUCCAAAUCCACGGGGCUGAGGACAAACUGAGACCACUGAAGCCGCGUGGCCCUCACAACCCACUGGAUUCAACCCCUAACCCCCAACACGCCCCACUGCCCUCCUCAGACAUUCCCAGGCAAGUGGCUUCAAGGGUGCAAGGCAUGAAGCUGCCUGGGGUCUUCCAGGACACCUUACCUGGGAAAUGUGAAGGGAGCCCCUUCCCUCUUCCCUGGUGGCAGGAACAGCUGCAUGUAGGCCUGAUUCAGGGUGGGGCUUGGGGUUGUGUGGUGGUAAUGGAGGGCAUGAGACAUUCUGAGUGCCCUGGGCGAUCUCCCAGAGAGUGGCUCUCAGGACCAUCAGCCGGGCUGGGGGAGCUUAGAAAACUCCCCACCGUCCCCUGCAACUGUGACCCUCUGUGCCCCUGCUUCCUUUUCCCUUCAGAGGCUGUGCAGCCUAAUCCACGGUCCAGGUCAGACCCAGAGAGGUCACCCCAGCCCUUGGUCCAGGCAUUCAUUCUUGGGCUUUGGGUCCCAGGACCUCAAAAUCCCAAAGGGCAGGAGAGGAGAGAGGCAUGGGCCCUGCAGGGGUGCCCACUAGAGCCCAUUCCCUGGCCUUUGGGAAGAAACUCUUACCUCUCUAAGAGAGAGCCUCUCUCUCAGGAAUCCUAGUUUCUCUUAACCAAGGUGCCAGGAACUGUAGACCAGGGACUCUGAGAAUUGUGGAAAAGAUCUUGAGCUUUGUAACUCCCUAUGUCCAGUUCUGCCUUUACCUGGUGUCUUUGUUUUGAUGAGCAAGAAAACCCUUAAUAUAAAAAAAAAAGCAAGAUGCUCAUUUUUGGCAGCAGUUCGGAGAGGACCAGGAGUACAUCCCCCAGCAGCUUGCCGUAAACAGGGGAAACUGGAAUGAGAGUGGAUGGGGGCUGUUUUAAAGAGGAAGGGGAAGCCAGCUGAGUCUCAGGACCUGAAGCAAGGAAGAAAUAGGAACACAGGAAGAGUUCAGGGGCCUGGUGACAAGGGAGGCGCCCAGCUUCCUCAGGGACCCAGGAAGUGGGCCUCAGGCUUGUCCUCCCUCCUCUUUCCUUCUACCUCCCCCUAGACCCAGCCCUGGGGACUGUCACCAGGGAUUGGCAUCUCUGUAGUCCAGCCAUGACACUAUUUGCCCCAGACACUUCCAGGAUGACAAAAGGGGUUGUUUCCAUGAGGCCUGACAUAGCUCAAGCUCCUGCCACCCCAGAGUCCUUAGAAGCCUCCAUGCAGGGGCCUCCCCUCCAGGCAGAUACCUUUCUUAGCAGCACUAUUUGCUACCAUAGAGCGAGUACCUGGGCACACACAGUUUUAAGACAGCCAGAGGCCCUGCUUUGUCUAGAACAGAACCUGCCCUCCCUAUGCCCUCCACAUCCAAGUGGUUUGAAGGCACCAUGAAGAUGGCUGAUUUGGGCAGCCAGCAGUGGCCAUGGCUGCCUCCCAAACUGCACGGCUUCCCACACUCUGGCAGUCUCGGAGAAGCAUGGGAGACCUGCCAAACUUCACCAUGCCCCUGAAAAGGGCUUAGGAGUUAGUUCAGAAAGCUGACUGGCCCUGAGGAGUCUGGUGGUCACGAGAAGGAGACACGUGCAGCAGAGAAAAUAGUGAGUCCGGGGAUCAUAGACCCUCCAGCAAUUAAAGAGGCUACAACUUGGUGGAGGCUACACAGGACAGAGGGGCAGCAGCAGAUCAGAGAUCUUCUCUCAUACCUAACAUUGCUAACAGAGGUCUACCCAGGGGAAAAAGGCGAUGGAGAAAAUCAUGAACUGAUAGGUUUAAAAUGAAAGAAGUGAGAAAACAUGUAUGGGACCUACUUUUCCUGGAAAGGUUAGUUUUUCAUUUUCUUUCAUCAGGUGGAUUGAGUAACCUAAAAAAUCAAGUUGUAUUUCCUGCACAAAGCUUCCUGGCUGGAGUGGGGGCAUACAAGCAGAGAUCAGAGUUUAUUCUGACUGACAUGGCUGGAGGGUGCCCAAAGCGUUGUUAUGCCGGGUGUGGUCCAAGGCGAAGCAGCCAUCACCUGAGGUGUGUUAGAGAUUCAGUUUCAGGUCUCACCUUAGACCGUCUGAAAUUCAACCUGCAUUUUAAGAAGAUCCGAGGUGAUUCAUAUCUAUACUAAAGUUUGAUAAGCAUUACUUAAAGGGAUGAUUCAGAAGUUUCAAAAAAAAUUUAACUUAAACUUAGUUUAACUCCACACAAAAUCUUUAGCUAGCAGUAGAAGCAGAGCUGCUCUGUUUAAUUUGGGUGGCCCAUAUCCCUUUUUGUUUAUCACUAACAACAGCCCUUGAGGCACAUCUGGGGAUCUCUAAAACUCUAGGUCCAGGGAAUCUCCAGAGACUCCUGAGUGCUUCAACAAAGCCCUAGGCAUGGAAACUGUGAUAGUAAGCCCAGUGCAGACUCCACAUUUCCAGGGCUGCUCAUGGGGCAGCCCACAAUCUUAAAAUCUGCUUACCUAGGGCCCCAGAGCUGGCUCAUGUGGCAAGGGAAACCUGUUCGAAAAGAUGGCCUCACUGUGAUCCAGUGAGAUCUGCACUGGAGGACUGGACCUCCAGGCUCCCUGAGGGAUGCUCCUUUUAGCAGGCAGGAGCCCUCCCCAGUCUUUUUCUAUGUUAAGGGACUGGCUCUUUGGGUUCACAGGUGAGAGCUGUCCAUCUCCCACAGUCUGAGAGCCGCAGUCUUCAGAGAGUGGACAGGCUAGCAUAAGUCAUAACUUGGAGACAGGACUCAAGCUGUUAACGAGUUUGAAGCCUUUGCUUUUAAGAUUCAAGCCCCAUCUGUGAACCCUCAGGUAAGGGAGGGACAGGUGAGGAGGAACAACAUUAAGGCUGCGAGCACCCCUCAAGAUGAAAUGUUAGCUGUGUUUCUUCAGGGACUGGAUUGAAAAUGGGUAAAAGGGGGGUAUGGCACCAUGUCUGGGGACACAGAAGACUGGAGAGCUCUGAUCCAAGACUUACAUGCUUUUCAAGAGAGGAUACUAGCCCAUCUGCAUCUGGGUGAAGCUACACAAGGAUCUGAGUUGUCAGGUCCCUAGAGAGACGACCACUGCUGACCUUGACAAGGUUCUAGAGUCUUGUCACUGGGUAAUGAGAACUGGAAAGGAUCCAUCCUAGUGGGCUUGUGGACCAGGAGCCACAGUGGUGACGACAAUAGGGCAUGGCUAAUUGGGAAACUGACACUGGCUUGCUCUGUGUGAGGCCUUGGUCAAGUUUACCAGCAAGAAAAGAAAGAGCCAGCAUAUAUGACAGUGCUACUUAAGAUCAACAAAAUGAAGACAAGGCUCAUCACCCUUGUGACGGGGUGAGCAGCAGCUUCUCAGGAGCCAGCCACCCCAAUCAAGGGUGUGCAGGGUUAGCCAAGGCUUGGGAGGCCACACAGCCAGCACAUUCGGAACAGCACGAGCCCUGCUCAAAGGUGACGCAAGAGCAUAUGUGAGUGUUUUAUUUAACUCAAUCAGAGAAACACUGCCAGUGCAGGCUGGGAACUCAUUCUUUUCCAGCUGAUCAGAGAGCUAAGUUUUCAAAGCCUGGAUGUCUUUGGAAUCCCUAGUAACAUAUUUCACUGUUUUCCUUCAUGAUUCUUACAAGUACAGCUAACUUUGAUAACACUGAGUUCGUUUCACAGUUCCUUAGUAUUUCUGCUGGCUUAACUGAUUGACAGUGGGUACUGGAACUGCAAAUGGGGUAGGUUUCUGGGGUUUAUAUGCACACAUUUGUACACACAUCACAGUUUUAGAAACUGGGACAAUAAAGUUUCUAUUAGUUGGGGAUUUUAUAUAUUAUACACUGCCAGGAUAAUCUCUCACUUGUGGGUUUUGGGGAAAGAAUCCGUCAGUGUUAAGAUUACCACUAUGUAACUGCCUAAUGGUGGACCAGGUCAAGCUGCCUACGCCUAAGUCCUGGAGGCAAGGUCUGGAGUCAUAAGGAGCCCACACCCUGAGGGCCCUGGCCCGACAGGCACUUGGUCAAGCCUCCUCUCUGAUGGCUGGAGGCGAAUUCCUAUGCCCAAUUAACGCCCACAGGGCACUCCUCAUCACACUGACCACGUGUCCUGACCACAAGAACCAUGACGAUGUUGGGGCUCUGCUUCCCCUUCAUCCUGCCACACUCCCCCAAGAGCCCUACAAUGCCCACAAGGAGAGGCGGCUGCAAAGACCACAGACACCUCAAUUUACAUAAAAUUAUCUCACUCCAUUUUAUUUAAGAUUUUUUUCUCCAGUUAGUAAAAGAAAGAUGUGUCUCUCUUUAUACAUAUGUACAAGUUCAGUUAUAAAAAUAGACAGCACAUUCAAAGAGAAAAAAGGCUUGGCAUUUUUCUGAUUCCCUCUAAAUAGCAUCUGUACACAGGAGUCUGGAUUUGGGCAGGGGAAUCUUAUGAUUUAAAUUAAAUGAUUCCCCUACCACUCCUACUCCCAAAAAAAAGUUUUAAAAA